UACCUGGUUAUAAACUGGUUAUAACCUGGUUAUUACCUGGUAAUAACCUGAGACAUUACCCUGUUAUAACCUGGUUAUAACCUGGUUAUAACCUGAGACAUUAC
rnacentral:miRNA from 1 species